rnacentral:rRNA from 1 species
GAGUUUGAUCUUGGCUCAGGACGAACGCUGGCGGCGUGCUUAACACAUGCAAGUCGAACGGUGACGACGGAGCUUGCUCUGUCUGAUCAGUGGCGAACGGGUGAGUAACACGUGAGUAACCUGCCCCCGACUCUUGAAUAACCGUGGGAAACGACGGCUAAUACCGGAUAUGAGACGCACAGGCAUCUGUGUGUCUGGAAAGAUUUAUCGGUCAGGGAUGGACUCGCGGCCUAUCAGCUUGUCGGUGGGGUAAUGGCCCACCAAGGCGACGACGGGUAGCCGGCCUGAGAGGGCGACCGGCCACACUGGGACUGAGAUACGGCCCAGACUCCUACGGGAGGCAGCAGUGGGGAAUAUUGCACAAUGGGCGCAAGCCUGAUGCAGCGACGCCGCGUGAGGGAUGAAGGCCUCGGUUGUAACCGU